CUGGCGUAAGGACCGUUCUUUCGCCAUUGCCAAUUCAACCGUGAAGGAGCAAAGCUUAUUACGCACAGCAGUAUUUCGGUGACUUGCAUCUUCAGCUGUUUAUUUAUCCAACAUCAUGGCGAAUAAGUCAAGGAAAGCUAAUUCUAAGACUAGAUAUACGAAUGUAGAAACAAUUUUAGAGGAAAUUCAUUGUGAAAGUGAGACAGAUCUGCUUUUUGAAGACUCUAUUUUGAAGACUGAAACUGAGGCAUAUUUUUUGAACGGAGAGGACACUGUUUUGGACUGGACCUGAGCCCUUGGACCAUGCUUCAGGACUACCUGCCAUGAUGACUCCUUGCUGUCCCCAGUUCACCCGGCCUUGCUGCUGUUCCAGUUUCAACUGUUCUGCCUGCGGCUAUGGAACCCUAAACUGUUAAUUUUUACUCUUGAGGUGCUGUCCUGUUGCACCCUCUACAACUACUGUGAUCUCCACCCGGCACAGCCAGAAGAGGACUGGCCACCCCUCAUAGCCUGGUUCCACUCUAGGUUUCUUCCUAGGUUUUUGCCUUUCUAGGGAGUUUUUCCUAGCCACCGUGCUUCUACACCUGUAUUGCUUGCUGUUUGGGGUUUUAGGCUGGGGCUAUAUAAAGCGAUUUGAUUUGAUAGAGGACUGAGGGUCUUCCAAAUAUUGAAAGUGUGUAAAUAGUUACCCAUGUUAUUUUGUAAAUGUUUUUUUCAUAUAUUUUUUUAUCAAUAAUUAUUAUUUUUCCCUAUUAUUUUUUCCAUUUAUUUUUCUCUAUUUUUUUGGGGGGGCUGUGUUAGAAUACCAUUUUGGUAUUUUGUAUAUAGUUUUUUGUUUCAAAAUGUAUGCCUUCACCAAUUUGGCCACUUGGGUACAUUUGGGCUACUUGUGUGGGACACCUGGGUGACUUCAUGAUAAAUGUCAUGUAGCACACUCAUUUUGGAAGUUAUAAUUCUGAAACUUUGCACAAGUACUGUUGCCCUCUUAUAUUUUUCACUGAAAUUGUCCCCAUUAUCCUAUCUGAAUGUUUGUUUUAUCUUGUUCAUUUUAAAGAUGAUGAUACAAAAAUAAAUAAAAAACGUAUUUGUUUUCAUUGUUUUAUCUAAA